GUAGGUGGCAAGCGUUGUCCGGAAUUAUUGGGCGUAAAGCGCGCGCAGGCGGGUCCUUUAAGUCUGAUGUGAAAGCCCACGGGCUCAACCGUGGAGGGUCAUUGGAAACUGGGGGACUUGAGUACAGAAGAGGAAAGCGGAUUUCCAAGUGUAGCGGUGAAAUGCGUAGAGAUUUGGAGGAACACCAGUGGCGAAGGCGGCUUUCUGGUCUGUAACUGACGCUGAGGCGCGAAAGCGUGGGGAGCAAACAGGAUUAGAUACCCUGGUAGUCCACGCCGUAAACGAUGAGUGCUAAGUGUUAGGGGGUUUCCGCCCCUUAGUGCUGCAGCUAACGCAUUAAGCACUCCGCCUGGGGAGUACGGCCGCAAAGGCUG
rnacentral:rRNA from 1 species